UAUGUACCUCCUCCGUUCUGAAAUUCUUGUCUUAGCUUUAUCUAAAAAGGAUGUAUCUAAAUACUAAAAGUUUACUAGAUACAUUCAUAUAUAAACAAAUUUAAGACAAAAAUUUUGGGACGGAGGAAGUAGUAU
rfam:Hordeum vulgare subsp. vulgare, WGS project CAJW01000000 data, contig: morex_contig_199062